GGAAUGAGUGGGUGUGUCCAAACUUUUGACUACUUUCUCAAUGAAUUUGAUUAAUAUUAUGGUGUUUCUAUUCUAUAACAAAUGAAAAAACUGUGUUUCUGUUAGGAUGGAGGAGAAAAUAUGGCGCUGUACAACAUGACGGUCAGCAGUACAGUACUGGGCUAUUGAGCUGAAGAAUCCCUGUGUCUUGCGGACAGAAGACCGGGGUUCAAUUCCCCGAUGGGGAGGGAGGAGUAGGCUGUCCUUGUAAAUAAGAAUUUUCUCUUAACUGACUUGCCUAGUUAAAUAAAGAUUAUACUAAGAGCAUAACAUUUCUGCACCCUAAUUUUCUAAUUCUAGUCUAACCAAUACCCAAAUGGAGAUGGAGACCAGUCCCCAUGCUUGUCUCAGAGCAGUGCAAAACAGUGCUAAAUAUGUUGUACGCCUUUUGCUUCAAACCUUAUUGCUUCUAACUUCAAUAUGCUCUUUAAAGAAAUAAGAACGACACCACUUUUAACAUCACAUUACUCAACACGGAUGAAACUCAUUUCGCCUAUGGUAAGCCUACAGUAUGUCUAAAUAAAUAAAAAAUUCAAUGAGGUGACUCCCCGCCAAUAAUUAAAUUUAAAGGAUUGGAGGAUUCCAAGGGGCAUUUUCCGUUAGAUAUUCUCACAGAUCCUGAGGGGCUUUUAUAUCAUUCUAAAUUAAUUAAUAAUAAUAAAAACGCUUUGUUAAAAAAGUACCAACAUUUUGGAGAUUUCGUUUUCAUUUAACCUAGAGUGAGUGAGAAAAAGUCAAUUCUUGAACACGGGGUGAGAUAUUCUCACUAAUUUUAAAAUAAAGCCAGUUUGUUAUUUGGAAUUAUUUAUUUCUGGAGAAACCGAACUUGAUUGUUCAGUAGACAUCACAGGACAUUUCUGUUUCUCCAUGCUUGUCUCAGAGAGGUGUUUCUGGGACCACAUCGUUUCCUUCAAGACAAUGACCCAAAACGUACUGCCGCCCGGGUUUGCAUUGCAAAUGAGGAGAUAGACUGGGUCAAGACGUCAGCAGAAUCGGUCUCCUGAUAUAAACCCGAUCGAACUCGUUUGGCAUCAACUGAAAACAUUAAUCCGUAACUCUGCCAAGCCGACAAGCUAAGAUGAACUGGUUCAAGGCCA